GCCGUUUUAGCUCAGUUGGUAGAGCGGUUCACUCGUAAUGAACAGGUCACCAGUUCAAGUCUGGUAAACGGCU
rnacentral:tRNA from 1 species